GAUGAACGCUGGCGGCGUGCCUAAUACAUGCAAGUCGAGCGAACAGACGAGGAGCUUGCUCCUCUGACGUUAGCGGCGGACGGGUGAGUAACACGUGGAUAACCUGCCUAUAAGACUGGGAUAACUUCGGGAAACCGGAGCUAAUACCGGAUAAUAUAUUGAACCGCAUGGUUCAAUAGUGAAAGACGGUUUUGCUGUCACUUAUAGAUGGAUCCGCGCCGCAUUAGCUAGUUGGUAAGGUAACGGCUUACCAAGGCAACGAUGCGUAGCCGACCUGAGAGGGUGAUCGGCCACACUGGAACUGAGACACGGUCCAGACUCCUACGGGAGGCAGCAGUAGGGAAUCUUCCGCAAAGGGCGAAAGCCUGACGGAGCAACGCCGCGUGAGUGAUGAAGGUCUUCGGAUCGUAAAACUCUGUUAUUAGGGAAGAACAAAUGUGUAAGUAACUAUGCACGUCUUGACGGUACCUAAUCAGAAAGCCACGGCUAACUACGUG
rnacentral:rRNA from 1 species